AUUGAACGCUGGCGGCAGGCCUAACACAUGCAAGUCGAGCGGAUGAAGGGAGCUUGCUCCUGGAUUCAGCGGCGGACGGGUGAGUAAUGCCUAGGAAUCUGCCUGGUAGUGGGGGAUAACGUCCGGAAACGGGCGCUAAUACCGCAUACGCCCUGAGGGAGAAAGUGGGGGAUCUUCGGACCUCACGCUAUCAGAUGAGCCUAGGUCGGAUUAGCUAGUUGGUGGGGUAAAGGCCCACCAAGGCGACGAUCCGUAACUGGUCUGAGAGGAUGAUCAGUCACACUGGAACUGAGACACGGUCCAGACUCCUACGGGAGGCAGCAGUGGGGAAUAUUGGACAAUGGGCGAAAGCCUGAUCCAGCCAUGCCGCGUGUGUGAAGAAGGUCUUCGGAUUGUAAAGCACUUUAAGUUGGGAGGAAGGGCAGUAAGUUAAUACCUUGCUGUUUUGACGUUACCAACAGAAUAAGCACCGGCUAACUUCGUG
rnacentral:rRNA from 1 species